AAAAAACACGCAUCAUAAACUGUGUCAUCAUGACCACUUUUUACGUGUACAGUUCAGCAGUGUUAAGUAUCUUCAUAACCUGCUCAUUUCGCAGAACUGAAACUCUAUAACCGUUAAACAACAACUGUUUUCACCUCUUCCCCCUGGUCUUUAGCAACCCACACUCUACUUUCCUUGUCUGAAUUUGACUACUUUAGGAACCUCAUAUAAGUGGAGUCAUACAGUAUUUGUCCUUUUGAGAUGGCUUGUUUUACUUAGCAUAAUGUUCAUCCAUGCUGUAGGAUGUGACAGGGUUUCCUUUCUAAGACUGCAUGGUAUUUUGUUGUACGUAUGUGGCAUUUCCCCCCCCACCCCUGCAUUUUGUUGAUCUAUUCAUUUAUGAAUGUAUAUUUGGGUCACUUCUACCUCUUGGCUAUGGUAAAUAAUGCUGCCAUGAACAUGGGUGUGCAAAUAACUUGAGACAUUGCUUUCAGUUAUUUUGGAUAUAUACCCAUAAGUGCACAAUCACUUCCAUAAAAAUCUCUGUGGACUCUACACAAUAGCAGUUUUGCUUCUUGUAUCUACAUUCUUCUAGAUCCUUAGUAAAAUCUUCCACCUUCCCUCUAAAGAGCUCCACUUGGGAGCACCUGGACCAGGUGAACUCCCAGGUGUGUCCAGCUCUAAAUCUAGUGAUCUACAGGAAUGUCCUGAGUAUGAUACUGUCCUCAUAACUAGUUCACAUUAAUGAGUAUAUCUCUGCCCCAGAAGAUGUGCACAACCAGGUCAAAGUAAAUAUCCUCCCAGAGAGCUGAGGCUCAACAGAAUAUGCCAAGGACGAGGAAUUUUCUUCUCAACACUGACCUUACUGGUUCACCUUUUUCACCAGCCACAAAACAGGAAGUGAUCAAGCUAAUAAGGUGGAUUCCCAUCCAUGAGGAUGGGGGUUUGGUCCUGGCCUCGCUUGGUGGGGUAAGGAUCCAGUGUUGCUGUGAGUUGUGGUGUAGGUCUCUGAUGCCGCUCAGAUCUGGUGUGGCUGUGGCUGUGGCUGUGGCCGGCAGCUGCAGCUCCCAUUUGACUCUUACCCUGGGAACUUCCACAUGCCUCGGGUGUGGUCAUAAAAAGCAAAACAAACAAACAAACAAAAACAAAACAAACAAACAAAAACUUAACAAGCUCAUUAACUAUAGUGCUAUGCAUUCUCACACAGAUGAAGUCAACAGAGUUUAUUUCAAUAGACGGUUUAAAAAUUUCAGGCAGAGUAACUGUAACAUAAUAAACUCAAUAAAGGGCUCUUGUUUCUAUAUAGGUAUUCUCCUAUGGAACAUUCUUCUGUGUAAUUAUUAUUACGUAUUGCCUUGUAUAAAAUCCAACUGCUGGAGAGGUGAUUUAAAUUCAGUCCCUAUGUUUACGUAAUAAGAAAACACUCCUGAUAAACAGUGCAACCCUUUGAGGAACAUCAUGAAAAGAAAAGAGUUAUCUGUUCCAAGAGUCUGACUCCAGUGCAGAUGUACAGGGCUGUGUCUGGAGAGGAAAAUUAAUAGCUCCAUUUCCUUUCUUCCCUCUUUCUAUCUGAUAAGAGAUGCUCUCCUGGGAUGGAGAGGGCAGUCUUGGAAGGAGGCUGGAGGCCUGUGGAGGGAGAGGGACCAGGACUGACACGCUCAGAAACUCAUCAACCACACCUGGUUUCUGCAUCCGUUAUGGAACCAGAUGUGCAAAUACUGCCUCCGAGCGGAUUACCAACAGCACCAGGCACUGGAGGGAAGCUGAGCCUUCCACAUGUUCCUUCUCAUUGUCAUGCUGGCAGAGUCCAGCCAGGCUCCUGUGACACACGGACGCCCAUAUACAUCCCUGAUUCUCACCUUGCCAGACCUGGGAGCCAUCGAUACGAAUGGGGAGCUCAGACUUCGAGCCCCUGACAAGGCCGUGACCCCAGACUCCCAGGACCCCAAGGAGCCUGCAUCGCACCCUCCCACCCAAGCUGCUCUGCGUUCACUGGGCAAUUCUGGGAAAAACUCAAAAUGUGCAGAAUUGCACUCCUAUUGAUCAUCCUAAAAUACAUGUAGCUAUGGGUUUUGGAAGACAUGCUCAAUCUGUGCUACAUGCAACAAGCGUAUCUCUGCUCCAGAGGACAUACCCAACCAGAUCCAAGGAAAUAUCCUCCCCGGGAUAUGGAGCCACCACCAAAACCUGUUGGGGAAGGCUACAGCGCCACGGGGAAUAUGGGAUGAACAUGCGAAUCUACUCUGUUUACAUUUAUCUCUUAUCUACAAAACCCACAACAGAACGGACCAGGCUUUACCAUUUACUACGUGGACUGUUUUGGCUGUGUGCAGGCAG
rnacentral:lncRNA from 1 species